AUAGUAUUAGCUUAAAAAUAAAGUGUAUGAUUUUUAAUCAUAAGAUGUGUUCAUACUUUG
rnacentral:tRNA from 1 species